GUUUUCAUGGUGUAAUUAUUUUAACAUUAAGUGUUUUCAUCACUUAGAUAGGGGAUCCCUUGAAAAUU
rnacentral:tRNA from 1 species